rnacentral:rRNA from 1 species
AAACAGGUGCUAAUACCGUAUAACAAUCGAAACCGCAUGGUUUUGAUUUGAAAGGCGCUUUCGGGUGUCGCUGAUGGAUGGACCCGCGGUGCAUUAGCUAGUUGGUGAGGUAACGGCUCACCAAGGCCACGAUGCAUAGCCGACCUGAGAGGGUGAUCGGCCACAUUGGGACUGAGACACGGCCCAAACUCCUACGGGAGGCAGCAGUAGGGAAUCUUCGGCAAUGGACGAAAGUCUGACCGAGCAACGCCGCGUGAGUGAAGAAGGUUUUCGGAUCGUAAAACUCUGUUGUUAGAGAAGAACAAGGAUGAGAGUAACUGUUCAUCCCUUGACGGUAUCUAACCAGAAAGCCACGGCUAACUACGUGCCAGCAGCCGCGGUAAUACGUAGGUGGCAAGCGUUGUCCGGAUUUAUUGGGCGUAAAGCGAGCGCAGGCGGUUUCUUAAGUCUGAUGUGAAAGCCCCCGGCUCAACCGGGGAGGGUCAUUGGAAACUGGGAGACUUGAGUGCAGAAGAGGAGAGUGGAAUUCCAUGUGUAGCGGUGAAAUGCGUAGAUAUAUGGAGGAACACCAGUGGCGAAGGCGGCUCUCUGGUCUGUAACUGACGCUGAGGCUCGAAAGCGUGGGGAGCAAACAGGAUUAGAUACCCUGGUAGUCCACGCCGUAAACGAUGAGUGCUAAGUGUUGGAGGGUUUCCGCCCUUCAGUGCUGCAGCUAACGCAUUAAGCACUCCGCCUGGGGAGUACGACCGCAAGGUUGAAACUCAAAGGAAUUGACGGGGGCCCGCACAAGCGGUGGAGCAUGUGGUUUAAUUCGAAGCAACGCGAAGAACCUUACCAGGUCUUGACAUCCUUUGACCACUCUAGAGAUAGAGCUUCCCCUUCGGGGGCAAAGUGACAGGUGGUGCAUGGUUGUCGUCAGCUCGUGUCGUGAGAUGUUGGGUUAAGUCCCGCAACGAGCGCAACCCUUAUUGUUAGUUGCCAUCAUUCAGUUGGGCACUCUAGCAAGACUGCCGGUGACAAACCGGAGGAAGGUGGGGAUGACGUCAAAUCAUCAUGCCCCUUAUGACCUGGGCUACACACGUGCUACAAUGGGAAGUACAACGAGUUGCGAAGUCGCGAGGCUAAGCUAAUCUCUUAAAGCUUCUCUCAGUUCGGAUUGCAGGCUGCAACUCGCCUGCAUGAAGCCGGAAUCGCUAGUAAUCGCGGAUCAGCACGCCGCGGUGAAUACGUUCCCGGGCC